AGAGUUUGAUCCUGGCUCAGAAUGAACGCUGGCGGCGUGCUUAACACAUGCAAGUCGCACGAGAAAACUUUAGCUUGCUAAAGUGAGUAAAGUGGCGCACGGGUGAGUAACGCGUGAGUAAUCUGCCUCCGGGCGAGGGAUAACAUUGCGAAAGCGAUGCUAAUACCUCAUAAUAUUUAAAGAUAACGGUUUUUAAAUCAAAGGCGGCCUCUAUAUAUAAGCUGUUGUCCGGAGAUGAGCUCGCGUGCCAUUAGCUUGUUGGCGGGGUAAAAGCCCACCAAGGCUAUGUUGGCUAGCUGGUCUGAGAGGAUGAUCAGCCACACUGGAACUGACACACGGUCCAGACUCCUACGGGAGGCAGCAGUGAGGAAUUUUGCGCAAUGGGGGAAACCCUGACGCAGCAACGCCGCGUGAGUGAUGAAGGCCUUCGGGUCGUAAAGCUCUGUCAAAUGGAAGGAACAUAUUUUCCGCUAAUAACGGGAAAUACUGACGGUACUAUUAGAGGAAACACCGGCUAACUCCGUGCCAGCAGCCGCGGUAAUACGGAGGGUGUAAGUGUUAUUCGGAAUUAUUGGGCGUAAAGGGCGCGCAGGCUGCUUUUUAAGUCAGAUGUGAAAGCCCGGGGCUUAACCCCGGAAGUGCAUUUGAAACUAAGAAGCUUGAGUAUGGGAGAGGGAAGUGGAAUUCCUGGUGUAGAGGUGAAAUUCACAGAUAUCAGGAGGAACACCGGCGGCGAUGGCGACUUCCUGGAACAAUACUGACGCUGAGGCGCGAAGGCGUGGGGAGCAAACAGGAUUAGAUACCCUGGUAGUCCACGCAGUAAACGAUGAACACUAGGUGUAGCGGGUAUUGAUUCCUGCUGCGCUACAGCUAACGCAUUAAGUGUUCCGCCUGGGGAAUACGACCGCAAGGUUAAAACUCAAAGGAAUUGACGGGGGCCCGCACAAGCGGUGGAGCAUGUGGUUUAAUUCGACAACGCGAAGAACCUUACCUGGAUUUGAUAUCUCGGGAAAUCUUUCGAAAGUUAGAUGUGCCCUUCGGGGAGCCCGAAGAAAGGUGCUGCAUGGCUGUCGUCAGCUCGUGUCGUGAGAUGUUGGGUUAAGUCCCGCAACGAGCGCAACCCUUAUCUUUAGUUGCUACUAUUAAGUUAAGGACUCUAAAGAUACUGCUCCGGUCAACGGGGAGGAAGGUAGGGAUGACGUCAAGUCCUCAUGGCCUUUAUGUCCAGGGCUACACACGUGCUACAAUGGGUUGUACAAAGGGCAGCGACCUCGCGAGAGCAAGCUAAUCCCAAAAAGCAACUCCCAGUUCGGAUUGAAGUCUGCAACUCGACUUCAUGAAGUUGGAAUCGCUAGUAAUCGUGGAUCAGCAUGCCACGGUGAAUACGUUCCCGGGCCUUGUACACACCGCCCGUCACACCAUGAGAGUCGGUUGUACCAGAAGUCGUUCUGCUAACCCUUUUUACAAGGGAGGCGGAUGCCCAAGGUAUGUCCGAUGAUUGGGGUGAAGUCGAAACAAGGUA
rnacentral:rRNA from 1 species